rnacentral:rRNA from 1 species
CCUGGAAACAGAUGCUAAUACCGGAUAACAACAGAUGAUGCCUAUCAACUGUUUAAAGANGGUUAUGCUAUCACUCUUGGAUGGACCUGCGGUGCAUUAGCUAGUUGGUAGGGUAACGGCCUACCAAGGCGAUGAUGCAUAGCCGAGUUGAGAGACUGAUCGGCCACAUUGGGACUGAGACACGGCCCAAACUCCUACGGGAGGCAGCAGAA